CAAUAUAAUGUGUAGUUUCCAGAAGAAUAUAUGUGUGUGAUGUGACCAUGAAAGUGGUGGUGCUCUCUAUAAGAAAAUAUUUGCUUGGAACGAGUUCUUGACUCGGGGAAUUCGAAAUCAUCUCCGGAAUACCAUGUGAACUGUAGAGCAUUGAUGUAUGGUUUCUUUAACCAGGAUGAUACAUCCUGGAAAAGGACUUCCUUCAGAGAUACUAAGUGAUAUGUUUGAGACACGAAAUUGAUGGGUCACACCUGAUGGCUUAGGACUUAAGCUUUCACGGAAACUGCUGGAGCAGAUGAAUGGUAGUGUGAGUUUUGUUAGAGAAGACGAACGUUGUUUCUUUCAAGUGGAUCUUCAAGUUAAGACAAGGUUAGGUGUUGAGACCAGAGGAACAGAGGCUGAUUCAAGCAUACAAUAGAGAUUAUGGGUCCCAAAGGCAUAUAGAUAAUAAAAUUUGAUGAAUUGUGCUCCUUUUAUGGUCUGAAUGUGUUGUCAUUCAAAGUUUCCAUUAUUUAUUUAUCAAUAAAAUGUAUCUUAGUCAUUUAUAUAGUAGGAUGAUUAAGUAAACCAAAAAAAAGAAAAAACAAACCAUAACCCAAUUUACAGUACUUUGAGUCACUGACCAUCAUUAUCAAUUUAUCUAUCAUCAUCAUAUCUUCCUAAACUGAAUAUUUACGUUUGAACAAAAGGCAGUAAAGGGUUCGUUUGCAUGUCAGCUUCAAUGUGUGCUUUCACCGGUAAGAGGAUGAGCAACUUUGUGAAUGCUCCAUGACCAAACCCGCUUUCCUUCAUCAAAGAACAUGGAACAUGCCCAUUUUAAUUUUAUUUAAAACUAUGGAUUUAAGUUUUACAUAUUUUAACGUUAAGUCCAUUACAGCCAAACAAAAUAUUGAACAUAAACUUUGUUUUUCUUUUUCCAAACAGAGUAGAAUUUGAUUGAUCUUUAAAACACACAAAUUCAUGUGCCUUUUGCUGAAGUCGAUAGUACAAGAAAAGUGAAUUUGACAAUUCUUCACAAAAUGAAAAUUUAUUAUAAACAACUCCAACAAAACAAACAAAUCACUCCACAAUACUUCCUAUUACUUUAUCAAAGUAUUUCAAACACGUCUAAUUGUCAAUGACCCCGCGAAAGUAUUACAAACACGUCUAUUGUCAAUAAAAGCAGCUAAAUUGAAGUUUUUAAAGGUGUCAUAUAGGCAAAAAAAUUGAGAACCAACUAAUCUGCCAUGUCAUCCUGGACUGGUUUGAAAGACCAACUUUCGCAGCCCAUUAUUACUAAAUUUCGGAGCCUAUUUACACCAUUCUCAGCAUUUCAUUUUAACAGCCCAUUAUUAUUCAGAUACUAAAGACCCUAACCCAUUAUUACUCAUAUACUAAAGACCCUAAAACAUAAUCCCUAACCCAUUAAUACUAAAAGCCCUAAAACAUAUAAUUCUCUAAAAACUAAAGAUCACUCAUCCUCACUCUAGCCCUAAUCACCGACUCCAUCUCAUCGUGAUUCUCUUCCUCUUCAUCUCAUCUUCAACUUAAAUAUUAUCAUUUUUGAAUGAAAACAUUAUUAUUAUUGAAAUAUUAAUUAUUUAUCCAAAACUCUAAUAAACAAAAUAUACAAGUUGUUAAUGCACUCUAUUGUUUGCAAAGAAGCUUUUCCUAUUAUUUCCCUUUUUCAUUUAAUGCACAAAUACAAGUGUAGAUUUUUCUUUUUAUCUAGAAGAUGUUUUUUAAUUUAACAUACAAAUUAUGAACCGUUUGACUAUGUUUAUCAUAAAUUUGGUUAUAUAUAUUUUUAGUUUUAAUAUAUUCUUCAUUAUUUACAUCUUAUUAGUUUUAAACCAUACAAAAAACAUAUAUUAAUUGCAUAUUUUAAAACUUACUUUAUAUUUUAAAACGAUUAAAGUCACAAUGACCAAUUAUUUUCCAGCACCACCAAAAACUCGAAAAACCCUAUACAACCGAAAUUUUAUUUUCAUAUAUUAUUAAAUUUUAUUUGUUUAUAAUAUGUUUUAAAAAACAAACCAAAAAAAAUUGUGAUAAAGAAGGAAAGUUUUGAUAGAAUAACCAAAUUUUUUCAUUUAAUAGGUAAAAUGACCCUUAUACCCUAGAUAUAUAAAAUUUAAUUAAAAAAUAUUUAAAAACAUUAAACAAAUAAUAAUUAAGUAAUAGUCUUAGAUUAUACGUUUUCAAAAUACAAUUUAUUUAAAUAAUUUUUUUAGUUGAUUUUUAAAUUGCAAUUUUUCUCUAUUUUUGUUUUCAAUUUAUCUUUUUGUAAUUCUAGCCGAAGUUCACAACAAGUGGAGCGACAACCUCGGACCGCAACCAAUUAUCGCUAGGAUCAUUAGGAUGUGGCCCAUCACAAAUCACACAAAUAAAAAUGCUUUUCUAGGAACAACUUUCAUUUAUCUUGACAUCUAGGUUUGUCUUAAAAAUACUUACUUUUAAUUAUUCUAACAACAUUUCAAAUAAUUGCUUUUAACCACUCAACAGGACAAAAAAUGGAAUGGCGGGUGCCUAUUUCUGACACAAUGUACCAACGGUUCGAGGAAGGAAAAAUUUAUCACAUUAAAUAUUUUAAUCUUCUUCCCAAUAACCGAUGGUACAUGCUUACCGUUCAACCAUACUUAAUCAAUAUUAAUGAGACAACAACUAUAACACUGAUUCAAGAAAACAUUUCACCGAUUCCUUCAUACAUUUUCCGGCCCCAACGCUAUCCCCAGUUGAUCAGCUUAGCAAGUGCAACCAACUUCCUCCCAAAUCAAAAAAAAAACCAUACCUAUCACACAUACAAAUAAAUUCUCUAUUUUUGUCGCUAAAAACAAAUUAUUCCCCACAGAUGUUGUUGGCCGCAUAUGCCUCAUCCAAGGAAGUGAUUUAUAUAAC